GUGGAGCCUGCGGCUUAAUUUGACUCAACACGGGGAACCUCACCGGGCCCGGACACCAGAAGGAUUGACAGAUUAAGAGCUCUUUCUCGAUUCGGUGGGUGGUGGUGCAUGGCCGUUCUUAGUUGGUGGAGUGAUUUGUCUGGUUAAUUCCGGUAACGAACGAGACUCUGGCCUACUAAAUAGUCGACGGGCGUUUUGGUGCAUGGGCCCCGUUCGACACAGUCUUCUUAGAGGGAUGAGCAGCGAGUAUAGCUGCAGGAGAUUGAGCAAUAACAGGUCUGUGAUGCCCUUAGAUGUCCUGGGCCGCACGCGCGCUACACUGAAUGGGUUAGCGGGUCGUCCUUCUCCGAGAGGAGCGGGAAAUCGCUUGAAAACCAUUCGUGAUAGGGAUUGGGGCUUGCAAUUGUUUCCCAUGAACGAGGAAUUCCCAGUAAGCGCAAGUCAUCAGCUUGCGUUGAUUAAGUCCCUGCCCUUUGUACACACCGCCCGUCGCUACUACCGAUUGAAUGAUUUAGUGAGGCCUUCGGACUGGCGGUCCCGGACUGGGGCGACGGCGUUUCCCUUCGGGGAUGCCGCCGACCCGCCGGGACGGGCCGGAAAGAUGUCCAAACUUGAUCAUUUAGAGGAAGUAAAAGUCGUAACAAGGUUUCC
rnacentral:rRNA from 1 species